CACCUCCAAACUGUCGCUUCCUAGUGAUCCUGGGUGGACUCGUGGGUGCCUCUCUGGUGCUCGCUAGUCUCGCCGGAUUCGAUUGUGAGCUGCUCGAGAAAAGGCGUUAGAGCACUCACUCAGCCUCCUAACCCCCGAAAUCCCAGGACGAGUCUUUUCUCCCGAACCCCGCUCCCGGUUUGUUGUCAGCCAAUGGAGACGGAGCGCCGAAGAGCGUUUUUCUCACUGGCCGACAGGGGGCAGGGGCGCUCUGUAAUAUGGGCAAGGCGAAAGUGGCGUGGGUAUGCGCAUGCGUUCCCGGAGCACCAACGCGCGAUGGUGAAAUGCCCGUGAAGAAUCUAAGGGACGCCACGGGCGGUGUCACGCAGGCGCAAGAAACAAGAGACGAACGAAGAGGGAACCGGGAUGAGAAGGGUCACGUGGCUAAGCCUGAAGGGGCCCGCUCCGCGGAAGCGCGGCCGAAGCUCCAGUGGCGCAAUCGGUUAGCGCGCGGUACUUAUAGAGCAGUGCGGCCGUAGCGAUGCCGAGGUUGUGAGUUCGAUCCUCACCUGGAGCACAGAUUUUUUUCCUUCCACUUCUUUAAUAUUUGAAAAUUAAAAGAGAUUUAAGAGUCUGGAGCAGCCUCCGGCUCGUGUGCCCGCCAGGUUCCGGGGAUCGUGGCUGGGGGCACGCGAGCCGGACGCAGGGCAAGUGGCACGCGGUGGUCGGGAGGGGACAGCCGCAGCCCUCCGUUCCGGGCCCAUCCCCGCCUUCCUUUCGGUCCCGGGGGCUCCGCCUCCCCCUGUGACAUUUCUCCUCUCACGGCAUCUUCUGCCUCUGUGAUUGUCUCUCCCGGGUCUCUGUUCCCGCCUCCCCCCGCCCCCCGUCUCUGCGUCCCUCCCCCUUGGUCAGUGUCCCUCAAUUCCCUCUCAUCAGAUCUCCUUCUAGAUCCCUGAGUUUCUAGGACUCCCUCUAUCCUUGCCGUCCUUCCCAGAAGAAGAGACCGAAGGUCACCGGAGGCCCAGAGAAGAGUCCCGACUCCAGCUCCUAGCUGGGCUGACGCCGAGACCCCGCCCCCGGGGAGGCCUCCUGGCCUUAUAUGGGCAUUAGAGGCCGAGGCGGCCCCGGGAGGGAGCACCCCCUUCCCCCCCCCCCCUCCGCCCUGUGAGGGCGGGGACUCCGAGGCACACGCGCGCACAAACACACGCACCCACCGCGUCACUGACACGUCGCCUCCCUCCCAGCCAGGGCUGGGGCACAUUCCGUCUCCGCCCCCUCCUCCUUCCCCAGGGCCUGCGAGACGGAAACUUCCCGUCCCCACCCACGGCCGCAGAGACCCGAAGCCCUUCUCUGGCAGCAGCUUGUUUGUCCCGAGUGGGUGGCGGGGUAGACUGGGAGCCCUUGAGGACACGGUCUAUCUUGGCCUUUCAGGACCGUGCACGCAGUAGGCGCUUAAUGUCUACCGAGUGACGUGGAAAGGCGAAGACAACUCUUAGAAACAAGGAAGUGGAAGCAGAGAUUGGCAGGGAAGGACGAGUUACAGGAAAGAGAAGCCUUUAUUAAGAGCCUGCUGUGUACCGGGAACUGUGCUAAUCGCUUUACAAAUCUCUCACUGGCCAGCGAAGGCUCCGGAAUCACCCCGGGAGGGAAGGAGGCAGAGACGCGGAUUCCCCAAAGGCAGUGAGGGGAGGGAAAACAGCAGGAGGCUGGGGAUUUCUACGAUAAGGCUCCGGAGGGAGGGAAAGGCAGAGACCCCUUAGAGACAGACAUUCCCCCUCCCCGCCCCCACUAUCCCGAGGUAGAGAUGAAAGCUCGUAAUCGCUGAUAGCCAAGGCAGAGAACACUCCAGAUAAGGGGGGAGGAGGCGGGAGAGAUGGCCCAGGAAGUACGGAGAGCAGCUACCAGGCCAGAGAAAGGUAGAAGGGAUGGGGAUUGUGAAGAGGGACCCAGUCGGGCCGGCCCCGAGCACCGCCCCACUUUGUGAGCCAGCCGGCGGAGUGACUGAGUCCCCAGAAACGCGUUCUGAGCUUCAGGAAACCAGCCCGCAGUCAAAUCUCUUUCCCCACAAGUCCUUCCCGGUGACCUCACCCGAGCCACCUCCUCAGGUGAAGGGGGAAGUGCCCUCCCUUUCCCGGUGAGUUCACCUGGACCCGCCCUACCCUGGAGCCAGAGGAGUCAGGAACCAGCUAGACCGGCCGCCUAGCUCCCAGGCUAGCCCUCCCCACCCCUGAACCCCAGGAGACAGACACCAAGAGUCUUUCAGAUUCCUCUUUUGUGUAUUGUAUUAGUUUUAAUUAAAAAAAAAAACUCCACCAAAAACAAAAAUAGAGAUUUCUUUUUUGUUUAGCUAACAAUAUAUAUAUAUAUAUAUUUAUUUAUAAUAUAUUUCAAAUAUAUAUUAUAGUGGCAGCAAUCUCCCAAUAUUAAAAAGGGAGAAGGGACGACUGCAUAUAUAAAUACUAUAAAACCCAUCGGAAUAAAUAACGUCGUCACCAUAAAUAAAGGGGCUCCGAGGUGAGGCUGGGAAACUUGGAUUUGGUCUGGUUAGGUGGGGUUUGAGCACCAGGAUUGGGGAGAACCCCAUCCAGGGGAGACUUGGGGAAGCCUGUUCACAGCAUGAAGAAAAGGGGGGGAGAAUUUUAUCCCGACCACCCCCCCCCCCAUAACAGGGUGUCUCAAAGACUACAAUCUUAACCUAAUAAUGCUUUACAACUGCAUUAAGACUUUUGGGACACGCUGUACAUAUAUAGGUCGUUUCAGUAUGCUACAUUAAAAAAAAAAAAGAAAAA